rnacentral:rRNA from 1 species
UCGCCUGUUUAUCAAAAACAUGGCUCUAUGUAUAUUGAAGAUAGAGAGUCGGACCUGCCCGGUGAAUUUUUUAACGGCCGCGGUACUCUGACCGUGCAAAGGUAGCAUAAUCAUUUGCCUUAUAAUUGAAGGCUAGAAUGAAUGGUUUGACAAGAAUACAACUGUCUCUUUACAAUUACAUAAAAUUUUAUCUGCAGUUGAAGAAGCCUGCAUUUGAAUAAAAGACAAGAAGACCCUAUCGAGCUUAAAAAAAACUGGUGGAAUAACAAACUUAAUCCUAACUUAUAAAUAAAUAAAUAGUCAACUACUGGAAAUUUUGGUUGGGGCGACCGGGGAACAAAAAAAACUUCCUUUAUAAAAAUUUAGAUGCCCAAAUAUUGAUCCAGCAUUAUAUGAUUAAAGAAAUUAGUUACCGUAGGGGUAACAGCAUUAUCUUUUUUAAGAGUUCUUAUCGAAAAAUCGUUUGUGACCUCGAUGUUGGACCAGAAUAUCCUAAAGAUGCAGCCGUCUUAAGG